rnacentral:rRNA from 1 species
UUGACCUACAAUCAGGUAGGACUACCCGCUGAACUUAAGCAUAUCAAUAAGCGGAGGAAA